CCUGUACAGGGGGAUAACACUUAGAAAUAGGUGCUAAUACCGCAUAAGCGCACAGUAUCGCAUGAUACAGUGUGAAAAACUCCGGUGGUACAGGAUGGACCCGCGUCUGAUUAGCUGGUUGGCGGGGUAACGGCCCACCAAGGCGACGAUCAGUAGCCGGCCUGAGAGGGUGAACGGCCACAUUGGGACUGAGACACGGCCCAAACUCCUACGGGAGGCAGCAG
rnacentral:rRNA from 1 species